AAAAUUAUUUUUUGCAGAAACCUAAGUUUACAGCUGUAUCAACCAUUGUUGCCAUUUUAGCUUAUUUCAAGCUAGAUUUAGCAUAUUUUAAAAUGAAAUAGCUUGAAAAAUACUUGAAAUGCAUAUAGCUUAAAAUCUGGCUUAUUUCAAAUUUCAUUUAGCUAAUUUCGGCUAAAAAAAAUUUAUAACAAAAAAGGAGGAAAAAAGAAGGAAAUCAAAGACGAAAAAUAUUUUGAUGAAAAAUAUAAAAUCAGAGAAGAUUGUAAAAACUUCAUCAAGGCUUUAAUUAUUCAACUAAGGGAGAGACUUCCUGAUAACAUUGAAGUACUAAAACAAAUGGAUAUUUUCGCCGUUGACAAUAUGCUAAAAGCAAAUAAAACGCCAGAUAAAAUUAUUUCGUUGUUGGAACAUUUCAAAUAUGAAAAUAUUGAUGAAAUAGUAUCCCAAUUUGGAAAAAUCCACCUUAUUAAUUGGGAAAAAAAGGAAAUAACUAUAGAGUUUUGGUCAGAAGUUUUGAUGUAUAAGGAUGCUGGCCAAAACAAAGCUUUCGAGCAACUGGCGUUAUUUGCUUUGCACAUUCUUUCACUGCCAUGGUCGAAUGCUGCGGUUGAGAGGGUAUUCAGCCAAAUGAACAUGGUCAAAACAAAGUUGCGCAACAAAAUGAAUUUAAAGAUAUGGACUGCGACGUCAAUGCAAAUGUUGCCAUGGCUACAUACUUCCAACGAAAUACCUCGCUUUAGUCAGCUCAUCCGCUAAAUAUAUGGAAUCGAAUGAUGAAGUCGAUGAAAUUAUUUCUUUGCUCUAAUAGCUAUAUAAAUAUAAUAUCAAUAAAAGUAAAA